rnacentral:pre_miRNA from 1 species
UAGCUACUCCUUUCGUUCGGAAUUACUCGUCCAAAAAAUAAAUGUAUCUAGAUAUAUUUUAGUUGUAGAUACAUUCAUUUUUUUUGUGACAAGUAAUUUUGAACGGAGGAAGUACAAU